AUGGAGGAAGUGAUCGUGCGAUACCACUGGUCCAGAAUGAGAUAAUCUGGUGACCGCAGUUUUCCCACAGUCACCCCUCUCGUGCUCGCAAGGAGCCGCCUAAGAGUGAAAAGUGCGGGCGAUGGUGUCCUCGUGUUCACAGCAUCCACAGGGCUGCGUGCAUUAGCCUAAGGUGGGAGGUACGUAGCAUGUGACAUGGAAAACCUCAAGCUUUGGAGUUUGUUCUGGAUUAUUAUGAUUGAUGGGUGAAGUUGGAGAGGGUGGCCCAGAUGAGAUGGGAUAGCACCAUGGACAGGUCUUUCUCCACAGUCCUGGAAUGGAUUUAUCCUGGCAAUGCUGAGAUGGUGUCGUAAAAUUCCACCAUUUCCACGAUGCCCCAGGACCGAGAUGUCUGCUGGAGCGUCGCAUCACCUAACUUCUCUGGGUGGUCUCCCGGCCCGGUUCAAGGGCGUGCUGCACGCGGAGCAGUGUGAGCGAGAAUGCCGACAGAUGCAUGCGAAUUUAGGACUCGCCAGUUCAUCUCUGAUGAUGGUGUAUGCGUGAUUAUGAACCCAGCGAGUAGGAAAACAGCUCAUCGGGAGAGAAUGGAGAGUGACACGCUGGAUCAGAUUCCCCCCGAUGAAACUUAAUGAAGACAGAGUGCCACUAACACAGAGAACAAAUGUUACUGUGUGGAAAUGAGACGUAUCCUCGAGUGGUCUCUUCGCACGACGAUUGGUAGCAUCGCCUGGUCACUGAAUCUGAAGUGCUGAGACUUUGCUAAACCCAGAGGUAGGCAGCAUAUUAGCGCUGUAGGUUCACAUGCCCAAGGUUGUGAGUUUGAGUCUCUCCCCUAUCUCUGUGUGACUGGGGUUGUAUCUCUACACGUUUCUGUGGGUCUCAUCUCACUUAACAAAGACAGCUAGGUAAACUGGUGACUAUAAUUUGUUCUUAUGGUUUGACUAGGUAUGAGAGUCUGUGCCCUGCGAUGGACUGACAUCCCAUCCUAGGUAUUCUUCUGCCUUGUGCACUGGGCAGGGGUGGAUACAGGGGGCGGGGUCACAGAGACACUGGGCCCAACUGAAAGCUGAUUGGCCCCCAGAGUACCCACUCCCUGUCACUCACAAAUUCAAAACAUAUCAAUAGCUAAUCCCCUCUUGUUAAUUAUGGUCCCUCCUAUGCCCCCCCACCUUAAAAAAAAUCCUAGAAUCACCCCCGGCUCUGUAGUUCCUGGUAUAGGCUCUAGGCUGAGAGUGACCCUGUACUGGAAAAGGGAUUGGAAGGUAGAUGAACUCAGGGGUCACAAAACUGGAAUAAAUGAGUAAAAUGAAUAACAACAGCUGCAGCUCUGAAAAUCAAUUUAUCAGUUUGAAUAGUUUUAAAAAACAAAGCACAAAGUUAGAGUACAGACAUUUAUUGGUGUGGGAAGACUGUAAAAUGUAAGCAUGCGCGUUGACAUUGACGAGCAUCAGCACGUCAUUGGGAUCCUACAAGCGUCUGCUGUAUGGCGAGGUCAGCUGCCGUGUUUCUGUCUCUGUCUGUGUUUUUUCCAGAGUGUCCAGGCACGAAACUGUACUCCAUGCUGAGGUAAUGUGGGAGGAAACCACCCAGGCAUGGCAGCCGCAUCACUGGAAGCUGAGCAAACCCAUAACGUGGUAUCCUGUGACACAAUCCAGUGGCGGAGUCCCCCGGAGAAGCCCCCCCCCGCCGACGCCUGAUUGGCUUCUCCGCACCCUCAUGCAGAUGCUUCAGUUCUGACUCGUGCUUUCUGAGUGGCGACUGCACGGUGGGAGGUGAGUGGGGGUCCGUGUGACUGGAGCACAUCUCCGUGGGCGCGGCCCUCAGCUCCUCUGGGAAGGGUCUUCUCGCUCUGGACGGGGCGUGGACCAGACCUGGGCCCCUGUCCCAGAGAAAACACUGUCUCACCCCAGACUGUUCGUAUCUCGUAAUGAUUUGUUAGCAACAGCGUGACUAAUAAGGGGAUUUUAUCUCCACUACAUGGACACCACUAACCUUGCUGCAAUAUACAACAGAAUAUUCCUGACUGUUCUCAGACACUGUAAUUAUAUUUAUCGAAUAAUUAGACAUUUUGAGUUAGAUAUAAACACACUGGCUCCAUGAAAUCAAAUAAUGGAUAAAGAUUUGAUCUCAAGCUAGUUUCUGGCCUGUAAACACCUUAAUUCAUAUUGUAAACAUAUUAAUUCUAUUCAGUUACCCCUGAAAAAUAUGCUAUCAGGAAUUUGUGUUAAUGGCAUUUCAUGACAAUUAUAUAUAAAUAUCUCUUAUAAACAUGGAAUUUGACUUUGGAAAGAAUGUCCUGUGUUUGUUUUCAUGAACUCGUGGUAAGACUCUAACUUUGAGCCUGUUUGAUCGAAAUGCCACUUAUGAAUGUGUCUUUGCCGUUAAGAAACAAAUCACGUUCUCAAACCCUGCUUACUGUACAGCUUUGUUUGAUAAUUGGACAAAAUAUGAACUGUUAUUGUUGGGUUGCUAUACUGAUAUGCCAUUAUUCAUGGGAAGUGUGGCUGACUUUUCUUUCUGUUUUCAGAUAAAAAGGUAUUUGUUGUUUUCCAAGCAAUGCUGAACGCAUAUUACUAAUUAAACGUGGAUUUUCUGGAGUCUUCUCAUUCUUUUGGGCUUUGUACUAUUCUCAGGAGAGAAAUAUUCCCUUGGUCUUUUUCUGUGUAAGCAGCAACAACAUACUUUAUUAAGAGUUAUUCAUGAUCCCUCCUUGAAAUUUAAUUUUUUUCACUCAGUGUUUAAUUAUUCGGUCACGGUUUUGUGUUUGGUGCUUGUUAUUGGGUCAGUCUUUACCCUCAAUAAAGGUGAGGAAAGCUAUUACUUAUUAUCCAAUUAUAGCAUUGUCUGACACGGCCUUGAAUUGAGAUACUGCCACCAUAGUCGCCGUUAACUUCAAAAGGGCAGCAAAACCAGGCUGCAAAUUCAGGAAAUGCGGGUUCAAUACACCACAUGCAUUGGCAUGGUAUGUGCAUCUUGCUCACGGGAGUUUUACUUAAACAAAAAUGUUCUGAGGGCAGAACAAAAAAAAUGACUGGUUCAGAGAGA